GCCAGAAAGAAAAAUAGGAAAUUAAUCACCAUUUUCUGUAUGAAGUUUUACUUUAUUACCAAUCAGUUAGUGUUCUGCAAUUGGAUGCUGCUGCUACAGUGGUCCUAAUUCUAAGCAUUCAAAACAAAUGGGAAUCACAUUCUUAGAGGGUAGAGAAAAUUUGGGAAAACAUUGCUACAACAACUAAGUCUUAAUUCUAAACUAGUUAGGGUUGGCUGGAUAGGCCCCUUUUUGCCAUUCAGCUCUGUAAAAUUUGGGAAAACAUAGAAAAUCUUUAUUAGCUGUAAGUGGAGAAUAUCUAGUAUUUAUUAAGGAUGCGAUUAGAAAUAAAGAUUCUUGAUGAUAUGACGUGGAAGGAGGGAUAAGGUUAUGAAAAAUUAUGUUGGAAACUAUAUAAGUCUACAUAUGCAUUGUAAAUAAAAGCUUGUAUCUUGCCAUCAUUAAAAUAAAGUUUGACAUCCACAUGCAUGUAAACUAUG
rnacentral:misc_RNA from 1 species